rnacentral:snoRNA from 1 species
ACAUAUUUUCCCUUCGCCUGCAGGCAGGUAACGUUUUUCUCAGCUUCGGCUGGGGAGAUGUUCACCUGUCGGAUUUGUCUCUUUUUCUUUCUCUAGAAAAAGAACUCAAUGACUCUGUUCGCAAGACAGGAAGAAGUAGAACAGAUUUCCACAGCGCGCUUUAUAAUCCUGAUCGGCCUUCUUUCUUUUUUUCUCCUAAUGGGUCUUGUUCAGGUUCGCUUGGUGCGUACAUCA